GAUGAACGCUAGCGGCAGGCCUAAUACAUGCAAGUCGAGGGGCAGCGCGGUAGCAAUACUGGCGGCGACCGGCGCACGGGUGCGUAACACGUAUGCAACCUACCUUCAACUGGAGGAUAGCCCGGGGAAACUCGGAUUAAUACUCCAUAACACAGGGAUCCCGCAUGGGAAUAUUGUUAAAGCUACGGCGGUUGAAGAUGGGCAUGCGUUCGAUUAGCUAGUUGGUGUAGGUAACGGCUCACCAAGGCUACGAUCGAUAGGGGGUCUGAGAGGAUGAUCCCCCACACUGGUACUGAGAUACGGACCAGACUCCUACGGGAGGCAGCAGUAGGGAAUAUUGGUCAAUGGGGCGCAAGCCUGAACCAGCCAUGCCGCGUGCAGGAAGAAGGCCCUCUGGGUUGUAAACUGCUUUUGAUAGGGAACAAAUGCCACUUGCGAGUGGAGCUGAGUGUACCUAUAGAAUAAGCACCGGCUAACUCCGUGCCAG
rnacentral:rRNA from 1 species